rnacentral:rRNA from 1 species
GACGAACCGUGCAAACGUUGUUCGGAAUCACUGGGCUUAAAGGGCGCGUAGGCGGGGGCGCAAGUCAGGGGUGAAAGCCCACGGCUCAACCGUGGAAGUGCCUUUGAUACUGCGUCUCUUGAGGGAGGUAGGGGCGUGCGGAACUUCCGGUGGAGCGGUGAAAUGCGUAGAUAUCGGAAGGAACACCGGUGGCGAAAGCGGCGCGCUGGACCUCUUCUGACGCUGAGGCGCGAAAGCCAGGGGAGCAAACGGG